GCCCGGCCCGAUGGUAGUGGGUUAUCAGAACUUAUUAACAUCAGUGUCACUAAAGUUGGUAUACAACUCCUUUCUGCUAAAGUUGACUGGCUUAA
rnacentral:Y_RNA from 1 species